GAGUUUGAUCCUGGCUCAGGACGAACGCUGGCGGCGUGCUUAACACAUGCAAGUCGAGCGGUAAGGCUCUUCGGAGUACACGAGCGGCGAACGGGUGAGUAACACGUGAGCAACCUGCCCAUGACACUGGGAUAACGAUUGGAAACAGUCGCUAAUACCGGAUACGACCUCAGCGGACAUCUGCAUGAGGUGGAAAGCUCCGGCGGUCAUGGAUGGGCUCGCGGCCUAUCAGCUUGUUGGUGAGGUAACGGCUCACCAAGGCGUCGACGGGUAGCCGGCCUGAGAGGGCGACCGGCCACACUGGGACUGAGAUACGGCCCAGACUCCUACGGGAGGCAGCAGUGGGGAAUAUUGCACAAUGGGCGAAAGCCUGAUGCAGCAACGCCGCGUGCGGGAUGACGGCCUUCGGGUUGUAAACCGCUUUCAGUAGGGACGAAGCUAACGUGACGGUACCUACAGAAGAAGGACCGGCCAACUACGUGCCAGCAGCCGCGGUGAUACGUAGGGUCCGAGCGUUGUCCGGAAUUAUUGGGCGUAAAGAGCUUGUAGGCGGCUUGUCACGUCGGAAGUGAAAACUCGGAGCUCAACUCCGAGCCUGCUUCCGAUACGGGCUAGCUAGAGGAAGGUAGGGGAGAACGGAAUUCCGGGUGGAGCGGUGGAAUGCGCAGAUAUCCGGAGGAACACCAGUGGCGAAGGCGGUUCUCUGGACCUUUCCUGACGCUGAGAAGCGAAAGCGUGGGGAGCAAACAGGCUUAGAUACCCUGGUAGUCCACGCCGUAAACGGUGGGCACUAGGUGUGGGACUCAUUCCACGAGUUCCGUGCCGUAGC
rnacentral:rRNA from 1 species